rnacentral:rRNA from 1 species
AAUCCAUAGGUUAAUGAGGCGAACCGGGGGAACUGAAACAUCUAAGUACCCCGAGGAAAAGAAAUCAACCGAGAUUCCCCCAGUAGCGGCGAGCGAACGGGGAGGAGCCCAGAGCCUGAAUCAGCAUGUGUGUUAGUGGAAGCGUCUGGAAAGGCGCGCGAUACAGGGUGACAGCCCCGUACACAAAAGCGCAUGUGCUGUGAGCUCGAUGAGUAGGGCGGGACACGUGGUAUCCUGUCUGAAUAUGGGGGGACCAUCCUCCAAGGCUAAAUACUCCUGACUGACCGAUAGUGAACCAGUACCGUGAGGGAAAGGCGAAAAGAACCCCGGCGAGGGGAGUGAAAAAGAACCUGAAACCGUGUACGUACAAGCAGUGGGAGCCCCACCACCAAAGCAUUCUCUGGUGUUGAAGGCCCUGCAAAGCAGCAUCGCGGUGGCGGAGCGUCGUUUGCGACGCCCAACACACAAAACAAGCGGUGAGUGCUUUGGGGUGGGGUGACUGCGUACCUUUUGUAUAAUGGGUCAGCGACUUAUAUUCUGUAGCAAGGUUAACCGUAUAGGGGAGCCGGAGGGAAACCGAGUCUUAACCGGGCGUUAAGUUGCAGGGUAUAGACCCGAAACCCGGUGAUCUAGCCAUGGGCAGGUUGAAGGUUGGGUAACACUAACUGGAGGACCGAACCGACUAAUGUUGAAAAAUUAGCGGAUGACCUGUGGCUGGGGGUGAAAGGCCAAUCAAACCGGGAGAUAGCUGGUUCUCCCCGAAAGCUAUUUAGGUAGCGCCUCGUGAAUUCAUCUCCGGGGGUAGAGCACUGUUUCGGCUAGGGGGCCAUCCCGGCUUACCAACCCGAUGCAAACUGCGAAUACCGGAGAAUGUUAUCACGGGAGACACACGGCGGGUGCUAACGUCCGUCGUGAAGAGGGAAACAACCCAGACCGCCAGCUAAGGUCCCAAAGUCAUGGUUAAGUGGGAAACGAUGUGGGAAGGCCCAGACAGCCAGGAUGUUGGCUUAGAAGCAGCCAUCAUUUAAAGAAAGCGUAAUAGCUCACUGGUCGAGUCGGCCUGCGCGGAAGAUGUAACGGGGCUAAACCAUGCACCGAAGCUGCGGCAGCGAACGUAUCACUUAAAGCGAUUCAGCGGGUUACGAUUGACGGAGCGAAGCGACGUCAAAGCGUAUACAAAGUCGAGUCGGUUUAAGGAUACGUUCGUUGGGUAGGGGAGCGUUCUGUAAGCCUGCGAAGGUGGCCUGUGAGGGUUGCUGGAGGUAUCAGAAGUGCGAAUGCUGACAUAAGUAACGAUAAAGCGGGUGAAAAGCCCGCUCGCCGGAAGACCAAGGGUUCCUGUCCAACGUUAAUCGGGGCAGGGUGAGUCGACCCCUAAGGCGAGGCCGAAAGGCGUAGUCGAUGGGAAACGGGUUAAUAUUCCCGUACUUGGUGUUACUGCGAAGGGGGGACGGAGAAGGCUAUGUUGGCCGGGCGACGGUUGUCCCGGUUUAAGCGUGUAGGUGUGUGUUCCAGGUAAAUCCGGUU